CUCAAAAUUUCAUACAAAUCGCGAAAGACACAAAUGUAAUGCCAUCUUUUGUUGAAAAUGGUAACUAUUCAUUUAUAUAGUUUCAGUUCUGACUAAACUACUUUCGGUGUGUAUCUUGAGCUGAUGAAGCAAAGAAACGUCAAAACAAUCAAAAUAAAUAAACUGCCUAUAUAAAUUCUAAAUCAUGAUACGAAUAUAUUCAGCAUUAAAUUCAGUGCUAAAUUUAUUAUUUAAUUUCUCAGUAACUAUAUAUCGGAGAACUCGUUCGGAAAUAGCAAUAAGUUUAAAUUCACGUACCUAGGUAGGUAUCGAAGUGAUUUCUGGAUGAAUGAUGACGCUAUGCGCUGCUAUGCUGUUUUCCACCCUUGGGUGGCCAAUGUUUACUGCGAAUGGACAAGCAGGAAGAGCUGGAAAUUCGCUCACUGACCAUAGUGCACACAAUCAAUCUCAUCGCAGAAGAAACGCCAAGUGUUAGCCCAAAUUAUACACGAGUAGAUCCGAAUAAAACCGAUUUUGAGAUGUGACAAAACCGAAUCUUCGAUGCUGCCUCCCAGAAUAAAGGUAAUCAAUAUAGAAAAAAGAAUGACGUUGCGGUUCUUUGUUACCUCUAUUCUCUCAAGCAUUUCUCGCAGUAGAAGACUCAUCCGGCGGAAAAGUACUGAAGAACUUUUUUCAAUUACGGUCAUAAUGACUUUCGCAGUGGAAAAAGCAUUUUUGUUUUGUUUUUAAUAAAGUGUUUCAAUGCUAA